rnacentral:tRNA from 1 species
GCGCGUGUAGCUCAGUGGUUAGAGCGCCACAUUGACAUUGUGGAGGCCGGUGGUUCGAUCCCACCCUCGCGCA